ACCGUAGCUUUACUUUUAAUUACCUCUCUCCUUAUUAAUUCCACAACUUCCGAAUAGUUGUUUGUGGAAAUGUCAAGGGACCUCACUGAUUUUCAAUGAUAUGCAUGAAGUUUGACAGCAUUUUCUUGAAUUUCUUCCCGAGCAUAGGAAUGAGAUGAAAUACUCUAAACUGAAAGAAGAUUUUAUCAAAAAUAAUGAGAAUGAUAAAUGAACAAAGUUGUGUAGGAAAAGCAGUAUGUGGUACUUUGUUUAUUUAUCAUUAUUUUUUAUGACAUCUUCUUUCAGUUUAGAAUAUUUGACCUCGUUCCUAAGCACUCGGAGAAAAGUUCUUUAAGAAAAUGUUGUCAAACUUCAUGCAUAUUAUCCAAAAGCAGUGAGGUCCCUUGGCAUUUCCACAAAACAACUAUUCGUAAGUUGUGGAAUUAAAAUGGAGAGGGCAAUUAAAAGUAAAGCUAUGGUGGGUGUAUCUGAUAUUCAAAUUAAUUGCUACAAUUAUUUGUAAAAUACAAGAUUUUUUUUAAUUCUACACUUCUCCUUUUUGUUUCCAACUUAAAACGAAAUGGAAGCUGAUAUACAUGGAGUAUUUAUUUUCUGGUAGAGCAUCUUUGUUGUGACUUUCAAGUUCUGUAUUCUGUCAAACCUAUCCUCUUUUGUUAGCACUAAGGCAUGGGACUGCUUGUGCCUUGCAAGGCAUGGCUUCCUUCACGCUUUAGCUUUAUACAUAACUUUCAUUUGCUAGGCGUGAGGAAGGCCACGCCUUUGAGUGUUUGAAAUUUUCCCAUUCUUCCUUAACCUUUUUGAACUUUAAAUGAAAAAAAUUGUUCGUCCGGCUACCGAUUUCUCUAAAAGGCAGUAAGAUAAGGUCUAGCACUCCUUACUUGUACUUUUUCACAUUGAGGAUUUUAUUAUUAAUAAAAGACCGCUUGACAUUCAGUAUAGUGGUAUUUAAUUAAAAAAAAUUCUAAAAAAGGCAUCCGCUUAAUUUCUCAUAUUUGUUCCUUUAAUUUUAUACACAUAAUAACAAAGCACCAAGGCAAAAAAAAAAAAAAAAAAAAAAGGAAAAAAAAAAAAAAAAAAAAAAAAAAGAGGAAAUACAAACAUCAAAAGAAUUCAAUCAAUAUGGUAAAAGAAUUUUUAUGUAUCAAAUCAAUCAAAAACUUCAUAGAUUAUAGUAUUUUAUAUUUAUGAUGAAAUAUGUAUCUAUGGUUGUAUCAUGUGUUUGUGCGCGCGCCCAAAACUAGGAAUUAAGGUCUUGGUUAGGAUAGAGCAAAUUCUAGAUUGAGAAAGAAACUUCUUGUUUUUAGUCCCUGAAAUAUUGAUAAGUUUUUGUUUUGGUUCGUGUAAUAUCUAUCUAUUUAUAUCUAUAUCUAUAUCUAUAUCUAUAUAUUAUAAAUAGUAAGAAAGUCUUGCAUAGAUAGAUGUCAAGUGGCUAAAUAGGAUAAUGCCAUGUGGUACCUUUUAGGACAAAUUAGUUAGACUAGGUAAAAUUAAUUAUUUUUUUUUUAAUGUAAAUUAAAAGUAAUAAAUAUUUUCUAUUUCAAAUAAAAAAAAUUGGGAAGUUACAACAUAAGAAAAAACAUGCACAUAUUAUUUAAUAUAUUUAUAAAGAACAUUUUAAAUUAUUAGAAGUUAACAGAUUUUUAUAUCUACUAUUAAACAUUAAAAUAUUUUUUAUUGAAUUAACAUAUUUGAAUUUAAUUUAUAUCUUAACGUAUUUAAGAGACUUAUAUCUUCAUAUUUAAUUUAUAUCUUAAAUUUUUGUAAUCCUAUAAUUUUUCACUUUGAACUGCGUUAAGAAAAGGUAAAAAGGAAGGGGUAGUGUGUUUUUUCUUUUUCUGUUUGCAAUAUUAAUAAAUCAAAUAUAUUUUAUUUUAAAAAAUAAAGAAAAUACAAAAAAAAAAGAUAAAACCUAACAAAACCCCCUAAUGCACGCCACAAUUCCCGUCCCCAUUUUUCGGGCACGUAUCCCACGCAACCACUUAAUAUUUUUUAUUUUUAAUUUUUAAAAGUAAAAAGAUAAAACAAUUAAUAGAUCAAAAUUAAAUUUAACUAAUCUAAAUAUUAUUAUCAAACAAAAUAUAAAUAUCCCACAUUCAUAAUUUUCAAUGAACAAGAAGUGGCUACAAAUUAGUAUUUGAAAUUUGAAAUGAGUAGUUGUUAUGUGUAAAAUAACUAUUUAAAUUUAUUCAUUUACUAAUGAUUUAAAAAAAUAUAUAAAAAAAAAAUAUUAAAAAAAAUAAAAAAUUGAUAACUCUUAACUUAAACACUAACAGUCCAUACAUCCUAAUCCCCACAACCUCAAUUCACUAGCACUUAUUUUUGUUCUCCAAUUUUCCUGCACACUAAAAAUACUAUACAUAAUUCAAAUAAAUGUAUUAUCAUGUUGAUAUUUGAUAAAAGUAAAGUAUGUGCAUUAUCUUUUGCAUUCUUAUUUUAAUUUGAAGUUGAAAAGAAGCACUUUAACAAUUAAAUGAACGAAAAAAUGAUCGAUGUAACUGAUGAUAUACCACAACACCCUAUUAAUUCUAUAUCAAUAUGGUAUAGUCAUUUAAAUUUCAAAUUGGUGUCCUAUUAUUUUGUAUUGUCUCUUCAAAGGAUAAUUUAUUUAUACUUUUAGAAAAAUGAAUUUCCAUCACAAAUACAGAUUUAAAAAAUUUAAAACUAAAUUUUAAUAAGCGAGACUCUUUUUUUUUUUUUUUACCUUUGUUUUGGAUAACUAUUUCUACUUUUUUUAUUUUUAUAAAUUCUUAAAAAAAAAAAAAAAUAAAAUAACUAUCAUUGUGAUUUUAAAUUUUAAAUCAAUUAAAUUUUAAAUUCAAAUUCAAAACUAGAAAUGUAAUGUUUAUGAAAGCAAUUCAAAUUAUAUAUCACUUUCUAUAACAUAAAUUCAUUUUGAAAUUAAAAUGUUUAGAUAAAUUUAUUUGUCCGUUUGAAAUUGAACUAAGAGAUAAACAUUUUUUUAAAAACAAAAUUAAUUAAAUAAAAUAAAUUGAUAUUUGAUUUAUAAAAACAUUGAAAUAAGAACUUCUAAAAAAUUGAAAUGCCUACAUUUGAAAUUCAAGUGUUUUUUUUUUUUAAAAAAAAAAAGGUAACUAAACUGCCCCAUUACUCCACUAACUCCACUUCAAGCACCCCUCCCACCUCCCCACGUCUCUUUAUUUGUCAAUUUACUUUCACACACUUGCAUUGAAAAAUUUCAAUAUAAACUUAUAACAUAAAUUUCGCCGAAAAUUUUCAACACAAAUUAUUUUGAAACAUAAAAUUCAAAAGAAAAAAUUGUCAUUUCAAAUUUCGAAUUUUAAAAUCUAAAAUUUGUACAUAAAUGCAGUCAUAAUUAAAUCGUUUAAUUUAUCAUAUUUUUCUUCUUGAACAUCAAUCAAUAAUUCAUUUUCUAAAAAGGAAUCUCUUUGCAAACUUCAUUUGACAAAGUACUCUUAUGAAGAAUUAUUUGACAAAUAAAUCUCUAUUCUUCAUUUGAUAUAAUUAUUUGAGUUUUUGGGAAGAAUCAGUGGCAAAGUACUCUUAGGAAGGAAUAUUGAUAUAUUAUUCCUUUUUACAUUUUUUUUUCAUAAUCAUCUCGAUCUUUUUUACUGUCUCUAUUAUUUGUACUCAUAUCUAUAUUUACUUUUCUCAUUUAGUGCCUUCAGUUCAUUGCGGGAGUCAAUAUUCAUAAAAUACAACUACUAUCUUAUUUGGAAUAAUAUGAGAACUCUAAUUCUUAUUGACUUAUUAUUUUGAUUAGGUAAAAUGACCUUCUGGACCCUUGUACUAUAUCGGUUUAGUAAGUUGGACACUUCUACUUACAUGUUUGUCAUCUAGACCCCUAAACCCACUAAAAAACUAUUUUUAAAUUCUUUGAACGUUGACUUUGUCUACGUGGCAUUAAAUGGCUGACUAGGAUAAGGAAAGUGUAGUCACUCGCCUGGGGUAUGAGUGGGGGUCAAUUUUGACCUAUUUUAUAUUAAAAUAAUUUUAAAAAAAUUAAAAAUAAUAUUAAAACUAAAAAAAUAAUUAAAAAGAUCUUUUUUUCCUCCAUAUUUUUUAACUUAAAAAUAUUUUUAAAAAUAAUAAAUUUAAAAAAAAAAAAAAAAAAAAACCCUCCCCCAACACCCCCCCCCUCCCACNNNNNNNNNNNNNNNNNNNNNNNNNNNNNNNNNNNNNNNNNNNNNNNNNNNNNNNNNNNNNNNUCUUCCCUAAGCCCUUCGCCUCCAUCCCAACCCCCAACCCUUCUCCCCCGCCGCCCCACCAGUUCCCAAGCAAAGAAACCUCCAUUCACAAAGACACCGAUUCACAAAAUUUAUUCAAAUCAAGAAUUUUCUACAUUCUUGAAUUAUCCAAAUCACAAAAAUUUCAAAAAAAAAAAAGCGCAAAAAUUGUAUUUUUAUAUUGAAUUUCAAGUUUCUCGAAUUACCCAAAUACAAAAAAUUCAAAGAAAGCAUUAAAAUUGAGUCUUGACAUUGAAUUUCAGGUUUCUUAAAUUACCCAAAUCACAAAAAUCUCUAAAAAUUUCUUCUUUUCAUACUUCUUAAAUUUUUUGGCCCUCACUUUUCAAUUUUUCCGUAGAGCAAGAAGAAUAGGAAGAUGAAGAUGACAAAAGCAAAAGAAGAAUGAGAAGACAAGGAAGAAGAUUAAGAAAAAGAAAGAAGAAGAAGAAAUAGAGAGAAAGAACCAGAAAAGGAAAGAAAAAGGGGAAAAGAGAUAAAAAGGGGUAGGGGUUGUUUUAUUUGUUUAUUUAUUUAUUUAUUUAUUACAUAUAAAAAUGACGUGGCAGAUAACGUGGCACACGUGACAGUUGAUAUGGCAGCUGGCGUGGGAGAGUGUAUUACACUCACCAAAAAAGUAUUUAAAAUAUUACUUUUUAGUGGGUUCAGGGGUCCAGAUAACAAACAUGUAAGUAGAAGUAUCCAACUUACAAAACCGAUAUAAUACAAGGGUCCAGAAGAUCAUUUUACCUUUUGAUUAUUAUAUAGGACUAUUUGGAUUUGGUGUUGCUUAUAAAUAUAUUUUAGCUUUACUUUAGCCUAUUAAUGUCCUCGAUAUUUUGGAUUUAUUCACUGAUGUAUUUACAGUAGAAAGUGUUAAUGUAUAUUAGUUUCUAUCAUCUAUAAAGAUUAAAAAGAUUUAUUACUUUAUAUCUUAAUAUUAAAACUAUAUAAUUAUUAGGUGAAGUUUUAGAUUGUUAAUUUUAGCAUGAUUUGGGGAUUGAGGGUCUAUUCACAGAGAGAGUCCUGCAUAAACUUUUGUGCAAUAAAAUUUAUAGUUUGAGAUUAAGUGUAAUAAAAUUUAUAGCUUUCUUUAUUUUAUAAUUCGUAAUAUGUUGAAAAACUUAAACCUAAUAUUAGAUAGAGAAAUACUAUUUUACAUAUUUCAUUCAAAUAAUUAAUUAAGAUCCUUUUUGAGUUGUGUUAAAGUUCUCUUUUACAAUUUUUCCUUAUAUUUGUUGGAUGACAUUUUUUUUUCUUAUAGUUUUCUUUGUUCUAUAAUCCAACUUCUUUUUUAGAAUUAAUCAAAGAUCACCCGAUAAUUUUGAACUUUUCAAAGGAGGUUACGGUCAUAAAAAAAUCAGAGAAGAUAAUAAAUAUACUAUUACAAACACAAAAAUAAUUACUGUUAUGGAAGAAAAAUUGAAAAGUAUUCUAUUUUAAAUCAUCUCAAUUAUAAAUGAGAAUAGUAAGGAAAUUAAAGUGAGCUAACAAUACAAGGUGGAAUAACAAUUUUUGAUAAUUUGUUUUUGGUAGAUAAAUUUUAUUAAUAGUCAAAGAGAAAUAUUAUAAUUUUUGGUAAUAUUAAUAACAAUAUUAGAAAAUUAGGUGAGGUUAUUCUUAGAAUUCUAAUUAAAAGGUAAAAAAUAAAAAUUACGUAUGAUUUUAUUAGGAAUCUGAUCUGAAAUAUUAUUUUAAAUUUGAAUUAAAAGAUAACAUUAUGUUUCCACUUCUUAACAGAUUAAAAAAUUAAAUACAUAACUCAACUAAUUAACAAUUAUUUAUUAACAUCAUAAUUUAUUUAAAAUAUGUCAAUAGCAUAUAACGAGGAUAUUUCAUUUUCAUAUCUAAACGUUUAAAGUUAUUGCAACUGCGAUAUGAUCCUAAAGGGUUGUUUGGUAGAAGAAAUAAGAAGAAUAAUUUUGGGAUUAACUUUAUCCCAUAUUUGGUAUAAGAUAUUUCUUAAUUCUAGAAUAAUUUUGUCCCACCAUUUAUACUAAAAUGGUGAUAUUACUAUCCAAUAGGGAGAAGAAAUAAAAUAAUCCCAUGGGAUAUCCCACCUCAUCGGAUAUACUUAGUUACCCCAUCCAUAUACCAAACGAUCCGUAAGUGUUUAUUAAACUUUUAAUAUUAUAUUAAAGUAUAUAUCAUUGAUGAUGUUGAAUUUAAUAAUAUUGAUAGUCAUAUUUCUUACUUCACAAAUUUAUUGAUUUUACAUACAUCAAUUUGAUGAAAAAAAUUAUAUCAAAUAAAUAAAAUUAAAAAAUAUGAUUAAUUUUCUUUAAUAUCGUCCGCGCAUCGCGUGGGAAGGUAUACUAAGGGCAAGCCUAUGGUUCAUUAUGUGUAACUUGUGAAUUAUUUCUAAGAGUGAGCGUAAAUUGAUUCUAAUACCCAUUCUUGUAAUAAUUGCAUCUUUAUGAGUGAGUAUGGGUACCUCUAUUGUGAUGAGGGCACAUGUUAUGAUAGUUGGGUAAUUUGUAUGAUCUCAUUGAUUGUGUAAUAUGCAUGAGUUUGCCAACUUGGUGAGUCAGUUCUUGAGGUUAUGAUGUUUUGAAGUAGCGGUCUUGAGCUUUCAUUUGUGUAUAACAUUCUUAAGAUAAAAACUUGCUAUAUGUGUAGUCAUUAUAGUAUUAUUUUGAAUGUCUUGCCUGUAAUAAAAGUGUGGAGUCUUCUCUAAUUAGUGUGUGUAAUGAAUUACUAAAGGUAUAACUGUGCAAUUAUGUGUGGAAUAACUUGUUUAUAGUUUUUAAGGUUCAAUCAAGCUAAGAGACAAAGUAAUAAGUUAAUAUUUUUGGCUACUGAUUUAAUCUUAAUAACUGAACUAAAACUCUUGGUUACAUUUGCACUAAUUGAAUCUUAAUAGCUGAACUGAAAUUGGAUAGUUGCUUAACACUAGUCCCUUUUAGAUCGAUAUUUGACUUUCUUAAGGCCACUAUAUUACUUGAGUGGACCACGUACACUUGCGUGUGCGUUUGGGCGCAACAGUAUUAAUCAACAUCUAAAUUUAAAUAGCUUUUUUAAAACAACAAGAAAAUUUGAGAUGUGAUUACAAUUGAGAAAUAUCAAUAUGAUAUUCACAAAAAGAGUCAUAGACAUGAUUGAGCAAAUAAAAUUGCAAGGUCAAAUAUAUAGAAAGAAUAUUAUAUCUAUCAUAUGGUGACAAUUAAUUGCGUACAUUAAAAUUUAUUUCAUUUUACAUCACAUCUAUCUAGCUAAAUUUAAUUGUUUAAUUUUGCAAGUCUAUACGGUUCAUGAGAUUUUGCUUUUGACAAUCAAGUCAUUUGUGUAUGCUAACUAUACAUGUAUCAAAUUAAGCUUGUACUUUCUCUCUUUAAAUUUACAAUUAUUCAUUAUUUGCAUGUUUUAAUAUUAUCGUCAUUUUAAAAUAUCUAUACCAUAAAAGUUGGAACACAUAUAAAUCAUGUGUCUAGAAACUAGUAACUAAAGAAAAAGAGGUGAAUGCUUAUUCUAUUCGAUUUUCUACAAAUUUAUUUUUUAAAAGUAAUAUUAGAUCUUCAAUAAACUUAUGAAUAGAGAAGCAAAUCUUCAAUUAAUUUAAGAAAAACAAAGAAAUAAAUCAUAACAAAGUGAAUAGGUCAAGAUUAAUGCGAGGAAUGUAACGGAAGGAUUCAUACCUUUGCAAGCUGAACAAAAAGCAUCAGCUCCUCCGACAAUGAAGAGGAUUUAUCACCCACAACAGAAGAAGACAGAGACCAGAGUUUAGAAGAGAAAAUGAACACAUCCUUAAUGAUGGGGAGAAAGAGAUGGUUAAGAGGAGAGGACAGAGGAGCGCAUUAAGAGACCCUAUCUUUUAG
rnacentral:lncRNA from 1 species